rnacentral:lncRNA from 1 species
AUGUAAGAAACGAACGAAGUUACAAUCCAUUCAAUUUCAUCUAAUACUUCGAUAAACUCAAUCCAUGAGUCAGCAACCUGGCUGGUCGAAUUGUAUACGUGCUCGAGAGCAGCACAUGGAAGAAAACGAAGAAGAAGUGGAAGAAGAA